UACGGAGGGUGCAAGCGUUGUCCGGAAUCACUGGGCGUAAAGGGCGCGUAGGCGGCUCGGUAAGUAGGGGGGUGAAAUCCUGCGGCUCAACCGCAGGGCUGCCUUCUAAACUGUCGAGCUCGAGCACGGUAGAGGCAGAUGGAAUUCCCGGUGUAGCGGUGGAAUGCGUAGAGAUCGGGAAGAACAUCAGUGGCGAAGGCGGUCUGCUGGGCCGUUGCUGACGCUGAGGCGCGACAGCGUGGGGGAGCAAACAGG
rnacentral:rRNA from 1 species